CGCUGGCGGCGUGCCUAAUACAUGCAAGUCGAGCGAAUCAAUAGGAGCUUGCUCCUGUUGGUUAGCGGCGGACGGGUGAGUAACACGUGGGCAACCUGCCUGUAAGACUGGGAUAACACCGGGAAACCGGUGCUAAUACCGGAUAAUCCUUUUCCUCUCAUGAGGAAAAGCUGAAAGUCGGUUUCGGCUGACACUUACAGAUGGGCCCGCGGCGCAUUAGCUAGUUGGUGAGGUAACGGCUCACCAAGGCGACGAUGCGUAGCCGACCUGAGAGGGUGAUCGGCCACACUGGGACUGAGACACGGCCCAGACUCCUACGGGAGGCAGCAGUAGGGAAUCUUCCACAAUGGACGAAAGUCUGAUGGAGCAACGCCGCGUGAGCGAUGAAGGCCUUCGGGUCGUAAAGCUCUGUUGUUAGGGAAGAACAAGUACCGGAGUAACUGCCGGUACCUUGACGGUACCUAACCAGAAAGCCACGGCU
rnacentral:rRNA from 1 species